AUUUUCAUAGUUUAAAGAUAAAACUUAACUCUUUCAUAGUUAAAAUGAGAGCCAAUCUCUGUAAAUU
rnacentral:tRNA from 1 species